AAUAUUGCACAAUGGAUGGAACCCUGAUGCAGCGACGCCGCGUGAGCGAUGAAGGCCUUCGGGUCGUAAAGCUCUGUCCUAUGGGACGAUCAUGACGGCACCCUAGGUGGAAACCCCGGCUAACUACGAUCCAGCAGCCGGGGUAAUACGUAGGGGGCGAGAGUUGUCCGGAAUUACUGGGCGUAAAGGGUACGCAGGCGGCCAUGUAAGUCGGAUGUGAAAGGUCACGGCUCAACCGUGGUAAGCAUUUGAAACUGUGUGGCUUGGAUUAAGGAGAGGAAAGUGGAAUUCCUGGUGUAGCGGUGAAAUGCGUAGAUAUCAGGAGGAAUACCAGUGGCGAAGGCGACUUUCUGGACUUAAACUGACGCUGAGGUACGAAAGCGUGGGGAGCAAACA
rnacentral:rRNA from 1 species